AAGUAAUACUUGAAGGCGACUGCAAGCUCCUAGUCAAUGUUCUGAAUGGAAGAGGCUGAAGAUUUGAUGCUAUCAAUUGGAUCCAUGAAAUCC
rnacentral:sRNA from 1 species